GACGUCCAUUUACUGGAUA
rnacentral:siRNA from 1 species